UGGGAAUUAAGGAGGAAGAUGAGUUUCACUAGAAGCUCUCAGUCAUCGCUGGGGGGAGAGGAGGAGUGGGCAGCCUGUGCAGGAAAUCGCCAGGAGUCUGUUUUCUGCCCAUUUGUCAGUCUGAUGAACAAGAAAAAUAUGGGCAAGCUGGGUGAAGGAGAAAUGGAGAGUCUGGAGGAGGCUGGAGUGCGCUUCUCCACCGCCAGGAGCAGCCCCAGUUAUCCACCUACAUGCGAGGGGCCGGGAUUUUGCUGA
rnacentral:lncRNA from 1 species